rnacentral:rRNA from 1 species
AUUGAACGCUGGCGGCAGGCCUAACACAUGCAAGUCGAACGAGUGGCGGACGGGUGAGUAAUGUCUGGGAAACUGCCCGCUGGAGGGGGAUAACUACUGGAAACGGUAGCUAAUACCGCAUACCAUCGGAUGUGCCCAGAUGGGAUUAGCUUGUAGGUGAGGUAACGGCUCACAGAGGCGACGAUCCCUAGCUGGUCUGAGAGUAUGCCCAGCCACAGUUGGAAUGAACAAUGGUCCAGACGCCUCAGGGAUGCAGAAGUGGUGAAGAUGGCACAAGGGGCUCAAGGCUGAUGCAGACAUGCCGCGGGUAUGAAGAAGGCCUUCGGGUUGUAAAGUACUUUCAGCGUGGAGGCGUUACCCGCAGAAGAAGCACCGGCUAACUCCGUGCCAGCCGCCGCGGUAAUUC